rnacentral:rRNA from 1 species
GAUGAACGCUGGCGGCGUGCCUAAUACAUGCAAGUCGAGCGAACGGACGAGAAGCUUGCUUCUCUGAUGUUAGCGGCGGACGGGUGAGUAACACGUGGAUAACCUACUUAUAAGACUGGGAUAACUUCGGGAAACCGGAGCUAAUACCGGAUAAUAUUUUGAACCGCAUGGUUCAAAAGUGAAAGACGGUCUUGCUGUCACUUAUAGAUGGAUCCGCGCUGCAUUAGCUAGUUGGUAAGGUAACGGCUUACCAAGGCAACGAUGCAUAGCCGACCUGAGAGGGUGAUCGGCCACACUGGAACUGAGACACGGUCCAGACUCCUACGGGAGGCAGCAGUAGGGAAUCUUGCGCAAUGGGCGAAAGCCUGACGGAGCAACGCCGCGUGAGUGAAGAAGGUCUUCGGAUCGUAAAACUCUUUUAUUAGGGAAGAACAUCUGUGUAAGUAACUGUGCACGUCUUGACGGUACCUAAUCAGAAAGCCACGGCUAACUACGUG